CUGCUGCCUUCCGUAGGAGUCUGGUCCGUGUCUCAGUACCAGUGUGGGGGACCUUCCUCUCAGAACCCCUACGCAUCGUCGCCUCGGUGGGCCGUUACCCCGCCGACUAGCUAAUGCGCCGCAUGCCCAUCCCCCGCCGGAAUCGCUUCCUUUGGCCGCAGACCCAUGCAGGUCCGCGGCGUUACGCGGUAUUAGUCGGGAUUUCUCCCGGUUAUCCCCUGCGGGGGCAGGUCGCAUACGUGUUACUCACCCGUGCGCCGGUCGCCGGC
rnacentral:rRNA from 1 species